CUACAGAAAUAUAUUCCUGACAAAUGGCUCGACAGAUGGGACGAUUAUAGACAUAUGUGGUAAACGCUAUCUAUUGGGGUUGAAUCAUAGUCCAUAUCGAGAAGCUGCGAGUUGGUGUUGCAUCUAUGGAUUAAACAUGGUUUCCUUUGAAACAGUCGAAGAAUUCGAUUGCAUUGUGGCAUCACCUUUGGGU